rnacentral:rRNA from 1 species
UACGGGGGGAGCAAGCGUUGUUCGGAUUUACUGGGCGUAAAGGGCGCGUAGGCGGCCACCGCAAGUCAGUUGUGAAAUCUCUGGGCUUAACCCAGAACGGUCAGCUGAUACUGCGGGGCUAGAGUGCAGAAGGGGCAACUGGAAUUCUCGGUGUAGCGGUGAGAUGCGUAGAUAUCGAGAGGAACACCUGCGGCGAAGGCGGGUUGCUGGGCUGACACUGACGCUGACAGCGCGAAAGCUAGGGGAGCGAACGGG